GGUUUGUGUCUCUUUAAGUCUGUUAGGACGCUUAGGUUUGUGUCUAUUUAAGUCUGUUAGGCCCGUUUAGGUUUGUGUCUAUUUAAGUCUGUUAGGCCCGUUUAGGUUUGUGUCUAUUUAAGUCUGUUAGGCCCGUUUAGGUUUGUGUCUAUUUAAGUCUGUUAGGCCCGUUUAGGUUUGUGUCUAUUUAAGUCUGUUAGGCCCGUUUAGGUUUGUGUCUAUUUAAGUCUGUUAGGACGCUUAGGUUUGUGUCUCUUUAAGUCUGUUAGGACGCUUAGGUUUGUGUCUAUUUAAGUCUGUUAGGCCCGUUUAGGUUUGUGUCUCUUUAAGUCUGUUAGGACGCUUAGGUUUGUGUCUCUUUAAGUCUGUUAGGACGCUUAGGUUUGUGUCUAUUUAAGUCUGUUAGGCCCGUUUAGGUUUGUGUCUCUUUAAGUCUGUUAGGACGCUUAGGUUUGUGUCUCUUUAAGUCUGUUAGGACGCUUAGGUUUGUGUCUAUUUAAGUCUGUUAGGCCCGUUUAGGUUUGUGUCUCUUUAAGUCUGUUAGGACGCUUAGGUUUGUGUCUAUUUAAGUCUGUUAGGCCUGCUUAGGUUUGUGUCUAUUUAAGUCUGUUAGGACGCUUAGGUUUGUGUCUAUUUAAGUCUGUUAGGACGCUUAGGUUUGUGUCUAUUUAAGUCUGUUAGGACGCUUAGGUUUGUGUCUAUUUAAGUCUGUUAGGACGCUUAGGUUUGUGUCUAUUUAAGUCUGUUAGGACGCUUAGGUUUGUGUCUAUUUAAGUCUGUUAGGCCCGCUUAGGUUUGUGUCUAUUUAAGUCUGUUAGGACGCUUAGGUUUGUGUCUAUUUAAGUCUGUUAGGCCCGCUUAGGUUUGUGUCUAUUUAAGUCUGUUAGGACGCUUAGGUUUGUGUCUAUUUAAGUCUGUUAG